rnacentral:rRNA from 1 species
GAUGAACGCUGGCGGCGUGCCUAAUACAUGCAAGUCGAACGCUGGAGAUCUAGCUUGCUAGAUCGAAGGAGUGGCGAACGGGUGAGUAAUACAUAAGCAACCUACCCACGAAGACUGGGAUAAUCUCUGGAAACGGGGACUAAUACCGGAUAGGUAAUCGGAAGGCAUCUUCUGGUUAUUAAAGGUUAAAACAACUGUUGGAUGGGCUUAUGGCGCAUUAGUUAGUUGGUGAGGUAACGGCCCACCAAGACGAUGAUGCGUAGCCGGCCUGAGAGGGUGAACGGCCACAUUGGGACUGAGACACGGCCCAGACUCCUACGGGAGGCAGCAGUAGGGAAUUUUCGGCAAUGGGGGCAACCCUGACCGAGCAACGCCGCGUGAGUGAAGACGGCCUUCGGGUUGUAAAGCUCUGUUGUAAGGGAAGAACGGUAGAUAGAGAAUAUCUAAGUGACGGUACCUUACCAGAAAGCCACGGCUAACUACGUG